rnacentral:rRNA from 1 species
UGGGGAAUAUUGCACAAUGGGGGAAACCCUGAUGCAGCAACGCCGCGUGAGUGAUGAAGGUUUUCGGAUCGUAAAACUCUGUUGUUAGAGAAGAACACGAGUGAGAGUAACUGUUCAUUCGAUGACGGUAUCUAACCAGCAAGUCACGGCUAACUACGUGCCAG